AAAAAAGGCACAUAUGUAUUGCCCACAUUUACCUUUAUAAAUCAUCACUUUAUGAAAACAUUCCAGUGGGAUAAAAUAAUAAUUCAAUGACUGCAAACAACGGUUUAUACCACAUGCAAGAGAAAAAUAUACUCUCCGGAAUAUAAGGUUACUUCUACAUUAUAG